rnacentral:rRNA from 1 species
AACGAACGCUGGCGGCAUGCCUAAUACAUACAAGUCGAACGAGAUCUUCGGAUCUAGUGGCGCACGGGUGCGUAACGCGUGGGAAUCUGCCCUUGGGUUCGGAAUAACGUCGGGAAACUGACGCUAAUACCGGAUGAUGACGUAAGUCCAAAGAUUUAUCGCCCAAGGAUGAGCCCGCGUAGGAUUAGCUAGUUGGUGAGGUAAAGGCUCACCAAGGCGACGAUCCUUAGCUGGUCUGAGAGGAUGAUCAGCCACACUGGGACUGAGACACGGCCCAGACUCCUACGGGAGGCAGCAGUAGGGAAUAUUGGACAAUGGGCGCAAGCCUGAUCCAGCAAUGCCGCGUGAGUGAUGAAGGUCUUAGGGUUGUAAAGCUCUUUUACCCGGGAUGAUAAUGACAGUACCGGGAGAAUAAGCCCCGGCUAACUCCGUGCCAGCCGCCGCUGUAA